AGCGAACGCUGGCGGCAGGCCUAACACAUGCAAGUCGAACGAACUCUUCGGAGUUAGUGGCGGACGGGUGAGUAACACGUGGGAACGUGCCUUUAGGUUCGGAAUAACUCAGGGAAACUUGAGCUAAUACCGGAUGUGCCCUUCGGGGGAAAGAUUUAUCGCCUUUAGAGCGGCCCGCGUCUGAUUAGCUAGUUGGUGAGGUAAAGGCUCACCAAGGCGACGAUCAGUAGCUGGUCUGAGAGGAUGAUCAGCCACAUUGGGACUGAGACACGGCCCAAACUCCUACGGGAGGCAGCAGUGGGGAAUCUUGCGCAAUGGGCGAAAGCCUGACGCAGCCAUGCCGCGUGAAUGAUGAAGGUCUUAGGAUUGUAAAAUUCUUUCACCGGGGACGAUAAUGACGGUACCCGGAGAAGAAGCCCCGGCUAACUUCGUGCCAGCAGCCGCAGUAAGAC
rnacentral:rRNA from 1 species